CCUACGGGUGGCUGCAGUGGGGAAUAUUGGACAAUGGGCGCAAGCCUGAUCCAGCCAUGCCGCGUGAGUGAUGAAGGCCUUAGGGUUGUAAAGCUCUUUCGCCGAGGACGAUAAUGACGGUACUCGGAUAAGAAGCCCCGGCUAACUUCGUGCCAGCAGCCGCGGUAAUACGAAGGGGGCUAGCGUUGUUCGGAAUUACUGGGCGUAAAGCGUAUGCAGGCGGAUCUUUAAGUCAGGGGUGAAAUCCCGAGGCUCAACCUCGGAACUGCCUUUGA
rnacentral:rRNA from 1 species